AGAGUUUGAUCCUGGCUCAGGAUAAACGCUGCGGCGUCCUAACACAUCAAGUCGAACGCCCUAUGCAAAUAGGGAGUGCAGACGGGUGAGGAACACGUGGGUGAUCUACCUCCGGGUGAGGGAUACCAACGAGAAAUCGUUGACAAUACCGCAUACGCUUCGUAAAGCAAGCAAAGCUCCUUCGGGAGCGCCGGGAGAUGAGCCUGCGGCUGAUUAGCCAGUUGGUGGGGUAAUGGCCUACCAAAGUGACGAUCAGUAGCUGGUCUGAGAGGACGAGCAGCCACACUGGGAUUGAGAACGGCCCAGACUCCUACGGGAGGCAGCAGUGAGGAAUUUUCCGCAAUGGACGCAGGUCUGACGGAGCAACGCCGCGUGCUAGGAAGAAGGUUUACGGAUCGUAAACUGCUUUUAUCGGGGAAGAGAAAGGACG
rnacentral:rRNA from 1 species